UCUAAUAAUUAAUUGAAGCCAAAGAGAGGCGUAUUACUGUUAAUAAUAAAAUUGAACAAUUAAUGUUCCAAUUAAG
rnacentral:tRNA from 1 species